AGAGAAACCUGGAAGUCGGAAAUUGGGAGGAAUGAGAAUAUGCGGAGAUUAUAUACAUGCGCUUUUUGGUAAAAAUCACGCACACAGAUAUUGGAAUUUCAAGCUAAAUCAAGAUUGCGCAUUUUAAGGGGAAUUUGGAUUGGAAAAUUGAAGGCGAUGAAUUGAAGGCGAUGAAUUCCGCGAAAUUAAAGCCGCCUUCUUCCCUCAAUAUCUCGAUUUCUUCCUCUCUCGCUCGCUGCCGG
rnacentral:misc_RNA from 1 species